rnacentral:tRNA from 2 species
CACUCUCUAGCUCAGUCGGUAGAGCACUUGACUUUUAAUCAAGGGGUCUGGAGUUCGAAUCUCCAGAGAGUGACCA